GCUUAGGUGUAUGUCCAUAGUGGCAUGGGCGGAUUAAUGCCUGCACCUUCUUUUCAACUUAACCUAACCUAAUUUCUGUCGAACUUCACAUACCCACCACCACGAAAAUAGUUGGAACCUGGUUAAAUGAGCUCCAAAAAUCUCAUCACGAGGUCGUCUUUAUGGCAACUUUGCCAAAAUAUGGUCCGAUUUAACCCUAUUUGACGUGGAGUCUUAGCUAAGCCUGGUAGCUUUGUCAAGACAUAAUCUAACAUAACCUGCCUAUUGUAAAACAUUAUCUGCUUCAAAUUUUAGCUCUAUACAUUUAAUUUUAAGGACUGUACUACGAUUGACAGACUUGAAAAUGUACGACAAUCAUGAAUAUACAUACAGAGAAUGACAGAAAAAUUAUGUUCUUCGUUAUUGUUUUGUUUAAUAAUUGAUUUUGGAAAAGAAAAAAUCCUUUUCAAAAUUUGGGAAAAUCGUCACUCUGCAAUUUUUGAAGCAAAGCAAAUCAUUUUUUGUACUGAAUGAUUAGUGUUCUGCAAAAAAAAACGAUGCGUAUAUUCCUGCGCAUUCGUUGCAGUCUCAACAUCAACUGAAACAAAGAGCAUUAGAACGCGUGUGAGUAGCCAUCAACGCUACCGUAAGGGGCUGGACAUCGCUGCUCUACAAUGACUCAUGCUGCCAAGAUUAUAGAGCUUACCAUCAAUGCCUACACUCAAAUAAAGAUUUACUCAAACUUAA